UAGGGAAUCUUCCGCAAUAGGCGAAAGCCUGACGGAGCAACGCCGCGUGAGUGAUGAAGGUCUUCGGAUCGUAAAACUCUGUUAUUAGGGAAGAACAAAUGUGUAAGUAACUAUGCACGUCUUGACGGUACCUAAUCAGAAAGCCACGGCUAACUACGUGCCAGCAGCCGCGGUAAUACGUAGGUGGCAAGCGUUAUCCGGAAUUAUUGGGCGUAAAGCGCGCGUAGGCGGUUUUUUAAGUCUGAUGUGAAAGCCCACGGCUCAACCGUGGAGGGUCAUUGGAAACUGGAAAACUUGAGUGCAGAAGAGGAAAGUGGAAUUCCAUGUGUAGCGGUGAAAUGCGCAGAGAUAUGGAGGAACACCAGUGGCGAAGGCGACUUUCUGGUCUGUAACUGACGCUGAUGUGCGAAAGCGUGGGGAUCAAACAGG
rnacentral:rRNA from 2 species